GUGCCAGCAGCCGCGGUAAUUCCAGCUCCAAUAGCGUAUAUUAAAGUUGUUGUGGUUAAAAAGCUCGUAGUUGAACCUUGGGCCUGGCUGGCCGGUCCGCCUCACCGCGUGCACUGGUCCGGCCGGGCCUUUCCCUCUGUGGAACCCCAUACCCUUCACUGGGCGUGGCGGGGAAACAGGACAUUUACUUUGAAAAAAUUAGAGUGCUCCAGGCAGGCCUAUGCUCGAAUACAUUAGCAUGGAUAAUAAAAUAGGACGCGCGGUUCUAUUUUGUUGGUUUAUAGGAUCGCCGUAAUGAUUAAUAGGGACAGUCGGGGGCAUCAGUAUUCAACUGUCAGAGGUGAAAUUCUUGGAUCAGUUGAAGACUAACUACUGCGAAAGCAUUUGCCAAGGAUGUUUUCAUUAAUCAGGAACGAAAGUUAGGGGAUCGAAGACAAUCAGAUACCGUCGUAGUCUUAACCAUAAACUAUGCCGACUAGGGAUCGGACGGUGUUAUUCAUGACCCGUUCGGCACCUUACGAGAAAUCAAAGUGCUUGGGCUCCAGGGGGAGUAUGGUCGCAAGGCUGAAACUUAAAGAAAUUGACGGAAGGGCACCACCAGGGGUGGAGCCUGCGGCUUAAUUUGACUCAACACGGGGAAACUCACCAGGUCCAGACACAAUAAGGAUUGACAGAUUGAGAGCUCUUUCUUGAUUUUGUGGGUGGUGGUGCAUGGCCGUUCUUAGUUGGUGGGGUGACUUGUCUGCUUAAUUGCGAUACGAACGAGACCUACCUGCUAAAUAGCCCGCAUUGCUCCGGCAGUGCGCUGGCUUCUAGAGGGACUUUCGGCUCAAGCCGGAAGGAAGGU
rnacentral:rRNA from 1 species